rnacentral:tRNA from 1 species
GGAGAGGUGCUCGAGUGGUUGAAGAGGCACGCCUGGAAAGCGUGUAAUCGACAAAAUCGAUUCGCAGGUUCGAAUCCUGUUCUCUCCG